GACGAACGCUGGCGGCGUGCCUAAUACAUGCAAGUAGAACGCUGAAGGAGGAGCUUGCUUCUCUGGAUGAGUUGCGAACGGGUGAGUAACGCGUAGGUAACCUGCCUGGUAGCGGGGGAUAACUAUUGGAAACGAUAGCUAAUACCGCAUAAUAGCAGUUGUUGCAUGACAACUGUUUGAAAGGUGCAAUUGCACCACUACCAGAUGGACCUGCGUUGUAUUAGCUAGUUGGUGGGGUAACGGCUCACCAAGGCGACGAUACAUAGCCGACCUGAGAGGGUGAUCGGCCAAACUGGGACUGAGACACGGCCCAGACUACUACGGGAGGCAGCAGUAGGGAAUCUUCGGCAAUGGACGGAAGUCUGACCGAGCAACGCCGCGUGAGUGAAGAAGGUUUUCGGAUCGUAAAGCUCUGUUGUAAGAGAAGAACGAGUGUGAGAGUGGAAAGUUCACACUGUGACGGUAUCUUACCAGAAAGGGACGGCUAACUACGUG
rnacentral:rRNA from 1 species